rnacentral:rRNA from 1 species
GUGUCAGCCGCCGCGGUAAUACGUAGGGGGCAAGCGUUAUCCGGAAUCACUGGGCGUAAAGGGUGCGUAGGUGGUCCAUCAAGUCAGAAGUGAAAGGCAGUGGCUUAACCACUGUAAGCUUUUGAAACUGACGGACUUGAGUGCAGGAGAGGUAAGUGGAAUUCCUAGUGUAGCGGUGAAAUGCGUAGAUAUUAGGAGGAACACCAGUGGCGAAGGCGACUUACUGGACUGUUACUGACACUGAGGCACGAAAGCGUGGGGAGCAAACAGGAUUAGAUACCCUAGUAGUCC